rnacentral:snRNA from 11 species
UUGAUGCCUUUGUAAAGCAUCACAUAUACUAAAAUUGGAAUGAUACAGAAAAGAUUAGCAUGGCCCCUGCGCAAGGAUGACGCGCAAAUUCGUGAAGCGUUCCAUAUUUUU